rnacentral:rRNA from 1 species
AGUGAACGCUGGCGGCGUGCCUAAUACAUGCAAGUCGAACGAAGUGGCGCACGGGUGAGUAAUAUACAGUUAAUCUGCCCUACACAGAGGAACAACAUUUUGCAACGACUGCUAAUACCUCAUAGUGUAGGAUCAGACUAUAUCGUAUCAGCUAGCUGGUAAGGUAAUGGCUUACCAAGGCGAUGACGCGUAACUGGUCUGAGAGGAUGAUCAGUAACAGUGGAGCGGAGACACGGUCACAACUCCUACGGGAGGCAGCAGUAAGGAAUAAUGCGCAAUGGAGGAAUCCCUGACGGAACAACGCCGCGUGGGGGAUGACACUUUUCGGAGCGUAGACUCCUUUUAUCAGGAAAGCGGUACCUGCUGAAUAAGCACCGGCUAACUACGUGCCAGCAGCCGCGGUAAUUC